rnacentral:tRNA from 1 species
GGGGCCGUGGGGUAGUCAGGUCUAGCCUCUUACCAUGGGGCGGUAGACACCCGAGUUCAAAUCUCGGCGGCCCCA